GACGAACGCUGGCGGCGUGCUUAACACAUGCAAGUCGAACGGAAAGGCCCUGCUUUUGUGGGGUGCUCGAGUGGCGAACGGGUGAGUAACACGUGAGUAACCUGCCCUUGACUUUGGGAUAACUUCUGGAAACUGGGGCUAAUACCGGAUAGGAGCUCCUGCUGCAUGGUGGGGGUUGGAAAGUUUCGGCGGUUGGGGAUGGACUCGCGGCUUAUCAGCUUGUUGGUGGGGUAGUGGCUUACCAAGGCUUUGACGGGUAGCCGGCCUGAGAGGGUGACCGGACACAUUGGGACUGAGAUACGGCCCAGACUCCUACGGGAGGCAGCAGGGGGGAAUAUUGCACAAUGGGCGGAAGCCUGAUGCAGCAACGCCGCGUGCGGGAUGACGGCCUUCGGGUUGUAAACCGCUUUCGCCUGUGACGAAGCGUGAGUGACGGUAAUGGGUAAAGAAGCACCGGCUAACUACGUG
rnacentral:rRNA from 1 species